rnacentral:rRNA from 1 species
CGAUCACUAGCUGGUCUGAGAUGAUUACCAGCCACACUGGAACUGAGACACGGUCCAGACUACUACGUGAGGCAGCAGUGGGGAAUAUUGCACAAUGGGCGCAAGCCUGAUGAAGCCAUGCCGCGUGUGUGAAGAAGGCCUUCGGGUUUUAAAGAACUUUCAGCGGGGAGGAAGGCGUUAAGUUUAAUAACCUUGGCGAUUGACGUUACACGCAGAAGAAGCACCGGCUAACUCCG